rnacentral:tRNA from 1 species
GCCUUCAUAGUUUAAUGGAUAAAACAACUCCGUCCUAAGGAGAAACUCUUGGUUCGAUUCCAGGUGAGGGCA